ACAUUACUAGAGCAGCAAAGUAAUACUGGAGAGUUCCUAUAAAAUUCUAAACUCCAGUAUUUACGUGCUGCUAGAGCACUGC